UAAUUGAAGAGUUUGAUCAUGGCUCAGAUUGAACGCUGGCGGCAGGCCUAACACAUGCAAGUCGGGCGGUAACAGGGAGAAGCUUGCUUCUCUGCUGACGAGCGGCGGACGGGUGAGUAAUGUAUGGGGAUCUGCCUGAUGGAGGGGGAUAACUACUGGAAACGGUAGCUAAUACCGCAUAAUGUCUACGGACCAAAGCGGGGGACCUCCGGGCCUCGCGCCAUCAGAUGAACCCAUAUGGGAUUAGCUAGUAGGUAAGGUAACGGCUUACCUAGGCGACGAUCCCUAGCUGGUCUGAGAGGAUGAUCAGCCACACUGGGACUGAGACACGGCCCAGACUCCUACGGGAGGCAGCAGUGGGGAAUAUUGCACAAUGGGCGCAAGCCUGAUGCAGCCAUGCCGCGUGUAUGAAGAAGGCCUUCGGGUUGUAAAGUACUUUCAGUCGGGAGGAAGGUGGUAAGGUUAAUAACCUUA
rnacentral:rRNA from 1 species